AGUGAACGCUGGCGGUAGGCCUAACACAUGCAAGUCGAACGGCAGCACAGUAAGAGCUUGCUCUUACGGGUGGCGAGUGGCGGACGGGUGAGGAGUACAUCGGAAUCUACUUUUUCGUGGGGGAUAACGUAGGGAAACUUACGCUAAUACCGCAUACGACCUACGGGUGAAAGCAGGGGAUCUUCGGACCUUGCGCGAUUGAAUGAGCCGAUGUCGGAUUAGCUAGUUGGCGGGGUAAAGGCCCACCAAGGCGACGAUCCGUAGCUGGUCUGAGAGGAUGAUCAGCCACACUGGAACUGAGACACGGUCCAGACUCCUACGGGAGGCAGCAGUGGGGAAUAUUGGACAAUGGGCGCAAGCCUGAUCCAGCCAUACCGCGUGGGUGAAGAAGGCCUUCGGGUUGUAAAGCCCUUUUGUUGGGAAAGAAAAGCAGCAGGUUAAUACCCCGCUGUUCUGGCGGUACCCAAAGAAUAAGCACCGGCUAACUUCGUG
rnacentral:rRNA from 1 species